GAUGAACGCUGGCGGCGUGCCUAAUACAUGCAAGUCGAGCGAACAGACGAGGAGCUUGCUCCUCUGACGUUAGCGGCGGACGGGUGAGUAACACGUGGAUAACCUACCUAUAAGACUGGGAUAACUUCGGGAAACCGGAGCUAAUACCGGAUAAUAUAUUGAACCGCAUGGUUCAAUAGUGAAAGACGGUUUUGCUGUCACUUAUAGAUGGAUCCGCGCCGCAUUAGCUAGUUGGUAAGGUAACGGCUUACCAAGGCGACGAUGCGUAGCCGACCUGAGAGGGUGAUCGGCCACACUGGAACUGAGACACGGUCCAGACUCUACGGGAGGCAGCAGUAGGGAAUCUUCCGCAAUGGGCGAAAGCUUGACGGAGCAACGCCGCGUGAGUGAUGAAGGUCUUCGGAUCGUAAAACUCUGUUAUUAGGGAAGAACAAAUGUGUAAGUAACUAUGCACGUCUUGACGGUACCUAAUCAGAAAGCCACGGCUAACUACGUG
rnacentral:rRNA from 1 species